UUAACCUGUAAUCAAUUAAGUAGUUAAAAGGUCUAGGGUUGAUUCCAGGUGUGUGGUCUUGCAUUUGGAAGCUGUUGCUGUGACCAGACAACAUGUGGUCAAAGGAACUCUCAAUUGGGGUGAAGCAGAACAUCCUGAGGCUGAAAAAAAAGAAAAAAUCCAUCAGAGAGAUAGCAGACAUGCUUGGAGUAGCAAAAUCAACAGUCGGGUACAUCCUGAGAAAAAAGGAAUUCACUGGUGAGCUUGGGAACUCAAAAAGGCCUGGGCGUCCACGGAAGACAACGGUGGUGGAUGAUCGCCGCAUACUUUCUUUGGUGAAGAAGAACCCGUUCACAACAUCAACUGAAGUCCAGAACACUCUCAGGGAAGUAGGUGUAUCUGUCUCUAAGUCAACAGUAAAGAGAAGACUCCAUGAAAGUAAAUACAAAGGGUUCACAUCUAGAUGCAAACCAUUCAUCAAUUCCAAAAAUAGACAGGCCAGAGUUAAAUUUGCCGAAAAACACCUCAAGAAGCCAGCCCAGUACUGGAAAAGUAUUCUAUGGACAGAUGAGACAAAGAUCAACCUGUACCAGAAUGAUGGGAAGAAAAAAGUUUGGAGAAGAAAGGGAACGGCACAUGAUCCAAGGCACACCACAUCCUCUGUAAAACAUGGUGGAGGCAACGUGAUGGCAUGGGCAUGCAUGGCUUUCAAUGGCACUGGGUCACUUGUGUUUAUUGAUGACAUAACAGCAGACAAGAGUAGCCGGAUGAAUUCUGAAGUGUAUCGGGAUAUACUUUCAGCCCAGAUUCAGCCAAAUGCUGCAAAGUUGAUCGGACGGCGCUUCACAGUACAGAUGGACAAUGACCCCAAGCAUACAGCCAAAGCUACCCAGGAGUUCAUGAGUGCAAAAAAGUGGAACAUUCUGCAAUGGCCAAGUCAAUCACCAGAUCUUAACCCAAUUGAGCAUGCAUUUCACUUGCUCAAAUCCAGACUUCAUACGGAAAGACCCACAAACAAGCAUGACCUGAAGGCUGCGGCUGUAAAGGCCUGGCAAAGCAUUAAGAAGGAGGAAACCCAGCGUUUGGUGAUGUCCAUGGGUUCCAGACUUAAGGCAGUGAUUGCCUCCAAAGGAUUCGCAACAAAAUAUUGAAAAGAAUAUACUUUGUUUGGGUUAUGUUUAUUUGUCCAAUUAUUUUUGAGCUCCUAAAAUGUGGAGUUUUUGUAAAGAAAUGUGUACAAUUCCUACAUUUUCUGUCAGAUAUUUUUGUUCAACCCUUUAAAUUAAACGUUACAACCUGCACUUGAAUUCUGUUGUAGAGGUUUCAUUUCAAAUCCAAUGCGGUGGCCUGCAGAGCCCAACUCGCGAAAAUUGUGUUACUGUCCAAAUAUUUCUGGCCCUAACUGUAUAAUAAUGUAAAGUUAUGCAUAAAUGGAGUUGAAAUUGAUUACUAGGGGGGACCGUAUCUGAUGGGGAAACAUGGAUCAACGUAACACCUGUAAGGAGACCCAAAAUAAAAGAUUCUAGAAUUGUCAUGGGGAAAUGAUUGGGGCAAACGGUAUAAGACUAAAGAGCACUGAAGUAAAAGGCCCUUGUGACCUCACCUUGCCCCAGAGAAUGUAUUUGUAUUCGGAGCUCUGAAUUCAUGAGUAGAACUUAUCUUUUGAGCUACCCUAACCCAACCAAUAAAGCCAUCUACCACGUCAUUUUACAUCGCUCUAUGAUUCCUUCUGAUGAUUUAAAUUUCCAGUAGUUACCAAAGGGUUCUAAAAACUGGUUAAAUUAUCAUGGUGUCACUGUGCUUUAUUUGCCAGCAAACUGGCUUCACCUGAAUUUGACAAAGGAAAAUUAGAGAGACCAGACCCAGCAAUGCAGGCCAUUAGCCUGGGCGUUCAUUUCACCUCAGUUAUGCCACAGACGGAUUGCAUCAAUGCCACGCCAUAGAAGAAGGCCCUAAGAAGGAUUUAGUAGGCAGAAAUAACUUGUUUAUCAGAACCCUGACAUUUUUGUUGAAAAUUUUGUUUUCACUUUACGUAAAAUUCUAGUUGUGAGACGCUGAAUUUUGAGGUUUUGUUUUUUAUAAGCCAUAACCAACAAAUUUACAAGAGAUGCUUAAAAUAUUUUACUGUACACACACUCAGUGACUGGAAGCCCAAAUAUAUAGAACCUUUUCAUAAUAAUCAAGUUUUUUGAAAUGUAAAAUAAUAUACAAAAUGUAGAAAAACAUUAAGGGGCUUGAUGUAUUGUAGUUCUAAUAGUGUCAUGAUUUGGUGGUGAUGCAGAGGCAGCAGACCCAGGAUGAGAUGAAUUAGAUGGUUUAAUGAAAAAGUCAAAAUCCAAAAGACCAGGCAACACAAGGAGCGCAGGGCAAAUGCUCACACUGGUGACAACAGGCAGAAAAGACAAACACAACAAGGAACAAAGAACACAGAUGGGGUUAAAUACACAGAGGGUAAUCAAGGACACAAGAAACACCUGGGAACAAUCAAGGGGAGACAGGACAACACAAAGACACAGAAACGCAACAUAAACACAGAACAGGAACAGAUCCUGACAGAUAGAAAGCUAAAAUUUUACAAGAGUGAUGCCAUCCAGUUUCUUCUUAUUGCAGCGUUUCUUCCUGCGUGUGGACGGAGUCUUGAUUAGAAUAAACGAUACUCGAGUUUAUU